GUGGGGAAUAUUGGACAAUGGGCGAAAGCCUGAUCCAGCCAUGCCGCGUGUGUGAAGAAGGCCUUUUGGUUGUAAAGCACUUUAAGCGAGGAGGAGGCUACUUGGAUUAAUACUCUAGGAUAGUGGACGUUACUCGCAGAAUAAGCACCGGCUAACUCUGUGCCAGCAGCCGCGGUAAUACAGAGGGUGCGAGCGUUAAUCGGAUUUACUGGGCGUAAAGCGUGCGUAGGCGGCUUUUUAAGUCGGAUGUGAAAUCCCUGAGCGUAACUUAGGAAUUGCAGUCGAUACUGGGAAGCUAGAGUAUGGGAGAGGAUGGUAGAAUUCCAGGUGUAGCGGUGAAAUGCGUAGAGAUCUGGAGGAAUACCGAUGGCGAAGGCAGCCAUCUGGCCUAAUACUGACGCUGAGGUACGAAAGCAUGGGGAGCAAACAGGAUUAGAUACCCGGGUAGUCC
rnacentral:rRNA from 1 species